CGAUUGACACUCAGCCACCGAAACUCAGUUCUGCUUCCAUUGACAGUCAGGCACUCAAAGUCUACUGCUCCCAUUGAACCACCGUGCGCCUAAGUAUGGAGCCUCAGAUUGAUGAGGAGUUAGAGGUCUUGGACCCCGGUCCGCGUCAGAGGUCAUUGUUGACACGACAGCCAUAUCAUCGAUCAGAGGCCAUUUGGAAUGGCGAGGACUCGGGCCCACUUACGUGCCGUGGUCGCACUAAGGAGAUGGCAAACGUUCAGAUGGAAGAUAAUCGAGUCAUUGAUAUUAUCAAAUUGCUAAGGCUAGAAGGAUUAUUUAGAGCCCCUUCAAGAGAGAUAGAUAAUUGUCUAAUAUCGGCCCUAGUUGAGCGAUGGCGGCCGGAGACUCAUACUUUCCAUCUUCCACAUGGUGAGAUGAC